rnacentral:rRNA from 1 species
AUUGAACGCUGGCGGCAGGCCUAACACAUGCAAGUCGAACGAGUGGCGGACGGGUGAGUAAUGUCUGGGAAACUGCCUGAUGGAGGGGGAUAACUACUGGACCCGGUAGCUAAUACCGCAUCCCAUCGGAUGUGCCCAGAUGGGAUUAGCUAGUAGGUGGGGUAACGGCUCACCUAGGCGACGAUCCCUAGCUGGUCUGAGAGGAUGACCAGACACACUGGAACUGAGACACGGUCCAGAAUCCUACGGGAGGCAGCAGUUGGGAAUAUUGCACAAUGGGCGCAAGCCUGAUGCAGCCGUGCCGGGUGUAUGAAGAAGGCCUUCGGGUUGAAAAGUACUUUCAGCGGGGAGGCGUUACACGCAGAAGAAGCACCGGCUAACUCCGUGCCAGCAGCCGCGGUAAUAC